rnacentral:rRNA from 1 species
CAGUCGCCGCGGUAAAACGGAGGGUGCAAGCGUUAAUCGGAAUUACUGGGCGUAAAGCGCACGCAGGCGGUUUGUUAAGUCAGAUGUGAAAUCCCCGAGCUUAACUUGGGAACUGCAUUUGAAACUGGCAAGCUAGAGUCUUGUAGAGGGGGGUAGAAUUCCAGGUGUAGCGGUGAAAUGCGUAGAGAUCUGGAGGAAUACCGGUGGCGAAGGCGGCCCCCUGGACAAAGACUGACGCUCAGGUGCGAAAGCGUGGGGAGCAAACAGGAUUAGAUACCCGUGUAGUCCCUGUCUCUUAUAC